AGUGAACGCUGGCGGUAGGCCUAACACAUGCAAGUCGAACGGCAGCACAGUAAGAGCUUGCUCUUACGGGUGGCGAGUGGCGGACGGGUGAGGAAUACAUCGGAAUCUACUUUUUCGUGGGGGAUAACGUAGGGAAACUUACGCUAAUACCGCAUACGACCUACGGGUGAAAGCAGGGGAUCUUCGGACCUUGCGCGAUUGAAUGAGCCGAUGUCGGAUUAGCUAGUUGGUGGGGUAAAGGCCCACCAAGGCGACGAUCCGUAGCUGGUCUGAGAGGAUGAUCAGCCACACUGGAACUGAGACACGGUCCAGACUCCUACGGGAGGCAGCAGUGGGGAAUAUUGGACAAUGGGCGCAAGCCUGAUCCAGUCAUACCGCGUGGGUGAAGAAGGCCUUCGGGUUGUAAAGCCCUUUUGUUGGGAAAGAAAAGCAGCAGGUUAAUACCCCGCUGUUCUGACGGUACCCAAAGAAUAAGCACCGGCUAACUUCGUG
rnacentral:rRNA from 1 species